UGGGGAAUAUUGCGCAAUGGGCGAAAGCCUGACGCAGCGACGCCGCGUGAGGGAUGAAGGUUUUCGGAUCGUAAACCUCUGUCAGAAGGGAAGAAACCGCACUGUGCUAAUCAGCAGUGCCUUGACGGUACCUUCAAAGGAAGCACCGGCUAACUCCGUGCCAGCAGCCGCGGUAAUACGGAGGGUGCAAGCGUUAAUCGGAAUUACUGGGCGUAAAGCGCACGUAGGCUGCUUUGUAAGUCAGGGGUGAAAUCCCACGGCUCAACCGUGAAACUGCCUUUGAUACUGCUUAGCUUGAAUCCGGGAGAGGGUGGCAGAAUUCCAGGUGUAGGAGUGAAAUCCGUAGAUAUCUGGAGGAACAUCAGUGGCGAAGGCGGCCACCUGGACCGGUAUUGACGCUGAGGUGCGAAAGCGUGGGGAGCAAACAGG
rnacentral:rRNA from 1 species